rnacentral:lncRNA from 1 species
GUUGAGCUCAGAAUGUUCAUGGCUAACAAACAUGCUUUCAAUAUGUUCAUCAUCAUGAACGUUUAGUUAGAAAAAUUUGACGUAAUUGUUUUAUAAAAAUGGGAAUAUAUAUUUAUUAAGGAUGAUAUAAAAAAGCAUAUUUAAAAUGCGUAUUACUAUGAGGCCGAAUAUCAUGGAUCAACAAACUCAAAAUUUCAUAGUUAUGAGUGUGUAUAUGUGAAUUUCUUUUAGAUUAUAUCACUCCAUCUAUAUAAAAAUAAUAAUUAUGUUAAUGACUUUUAGAUUAUAUCACUCCAUCUAUUUAUAUCACUCCAUCAUAUACUUAGAUUAUGUUAAUAAUUAUUCAAUAUCUAAAUUAGAUUAUAUGCAAUUAUUGAUUUAAAAUUCAUCCAUACUAAUAAACUUACGUAUAAAACAUUACACUUUUAGGUUAAUUAAUAAAUUAAAAAUGGAUAGAUUUGAUCCAUGAAAGAAGGUGGACGUGUCAUCUAUAUCCACUAUUCAACGUAAAGUAAUCAAACUCCAUUACUAUAAAGGCAAUGAAAUAUUGUGCCUCGUAUACUAUAAAGGCAAAGCAUAGUCAAGAAAAUAAUAAGAAUAAAAAUGGCAGUAUUUCAUAUCAACGUGUUUCUGUUACUCUCUCUUUUAACCAUCACCAUUGUUACUCCUAUGAAUGGUUUUAANNNNN